UGCACAUGGAAUGAUGUGUUCCAGUUAACUUUUUUUUGUCUUAUUUUAAGAACCUAUAAUGCUAAUUCUACUGUAGUAAUGCCUUAAUAGUAUAUCUGCCAGUGAUACUGCAUUCUUCUAGGCUAUUUCUCUAAGAAAUAUAUUUUGCAAGACCAUCUUCUACAUUAGGAAUGUUUUCAGAGAAAAAAGACUACCGGUUUGGAAAUCCAGCCCAUGUGGAGUUGUACAUAGCUUGAUCUCUGAGGAACUGUGUGAGAGAUCUUGCCGGUGUCUGUAAAAGGAAACUAGGAGGGAAGCUGCCUUACCCAAAGAGCUGCAACAGGUCGAGCACACAGCCAGGAUUUCCAGUCCACUGAACCACGCUGCAUAGCAGGGCUCCRCUAUGAGCAUGUUGCAUAAAGUGGCACAGAUAAUAGCUGCAGUUUACAGAAGAAAGCAAUUAUAUUGUAAACAAGUAUUUUGGGGAGGA
rnacentral:lncRNA from 1 species